CACCCCAAGCCAUGAUGUCGCUAAGCGCCACAUUACUCGGUCAUCUCUCUGUUCCAGCGGCGGCCUCCUAAACGCCGAUCCGAUCCGCUCCCUGUGGCGGCCGAGAACGGCCGGUGAUGGUGGCCAACGGCGGGGAGUGUUGAUGACGUCUGCCUGCUGCUCGAUUCCAGGUCAUGCAAGGCAAUCGUAGCUCACACAGGUGCGUAGCAAAAAGGGGCAAAGCAUGGCAUUGCAAUGUAUCCAUAGGUACACCACUGCAUGUUGGGCAAUGAGUGCAUUUACCUUUUGUAUGAUCGCUCCAUUCAUCUCAAGAUUCGCAAAAACAAUUGCCAUCCUGCAUUAGCAAAUGCACACAUUAGCUAAUGCAAUGUACGAUCAACAAAUGCAGGUUGUCAGACACCCUCAUGUUCUCUUCUCCUGUCUCAUGAAGGAGCAGUCCCCUGUGCCAAACAAGUGACCUAUGAAAAUUGGCGGUCUCAGACCAAGUUGGUGUCUCACAAAAAAGAGAGAGCUGCAGAUGGCAGCUGGGGAUGUUGGUGGCCCUUUGUAGAUUUAGCAUUGGCAGGUAACCAACAACUACCAGACUUUAUGAAUUACAACUUGUGCAAUGCCUAAGAUGCUAUAGACCAUAACUAUACAUCAAACACAUUGUUUUUUGUUGAAACAAUGGGAUGUUAUUCCUAGUCCUCCAAGUAUCAGAAUUAAUACUGGACUGACAAGUCAGCAACUGUGUCUUCUUCUA